rnacentral:rRNA from 1 species
GAGUAAUGCGUGACCAACCUGCCCCAUGCUCCAGAAUAGCUCUUGGAAACGGGUGGUAAUGCUGGAUGCUCCAACUUGACGCAUGUCUUGUUGGGAAAGUGUUUAGUGGCAUGGGAUGGGGUCGCGUCCUAUCAGCUUGUAGGCGGGGUAAUGGCCCACCUAGGCUUCGACGGGUAGCCGGCCUGAGAGGGCGGACGGCCACAUUGGGACUGAGAUACGGCCCAGACUCCUACGGGAGGCAGCAGA